GAUGAACGCUAGCGGGAGGCUUAACACAUGCAAGUCGUGGGGCAGCAUUUGGUAGCAAUACUGAGAUGGCGACCGGCGCACGGGUGAGUAACGCGUAUGCAACCUACCCUGUACAGGGGGAUAGCCCGGAGAAAUUCGGAUUAAUACCCCAUAAAGAUAUUAAGAGGCAUCUUUUGAUAUUUAAAGUUUCGGCGGUACGGGAUGGGCAUGCGUAACAUUAGCUAGUUGGUAGGGUAACGGCCUACCAAGGCAACGAUGUUUAGGGGUCCUGAGAGGGUGAUCCCCCCACACUGGUACUGAGACACGGACCAGACUCCUACGGGACAG
rnacentral:rRNA from 1 species